UUUACCCAAAUACAACAUAAGGUCGAGUGUCACCUCCCACCACUCUCUUAAAGAGCUUCACCGGGCAGGUACACCUUACAACACCGUUACACAAAGACAUUUCCCACCACUCUCUGAAAGGCUUCACCGGCAAGUACACCACUUCCCACCACUCUCUUAGAGCUUCCCCGGGCAAGUAUAUUCUUUCCAUCACCCUCUUGGGCUUCACCGGACAAGUAUACACCCCCCACCACUCCAUUCUCAGAGAGCUUCACCGGGCAAGUACCAGUGCUACUUCCACCACUCUUCCAGGAGCUUCACCGGGCAUCACAUAAACAUAUCCAACCUCACAAGAGAUAAUCAUCUUCAUACUCACGCAACCACCCAAUAGUAUUCACAUAUACCCAACAUUCUCAAAACAAUCAUUAAUCAACCGCAAAGUAAUGACAAGUCAAUCCAAAAUAAAAUAGUUAACUAUCUACUAAACACACACCCCUAUUUUUCUAAGUCCUAUCAAAACUCUUUCACCUACCCAAAUGGACCCCACUUUAUAUUCAAAAUAUUAAACUAAAUUAUAUAUACUAAGUGGCCCACAUGGUUCAUUCAUUUAUUAAGGGUGUUUCAUCCUAUAAACUCUUACGUAAAACUUCCACCACUUUCCAUACUUUUAUUUUGUUUCCUUUUAACCACUCAUGUGGACCCCACGGUUUCACCAAAAUCCACUCACUUUAACCUCUCUCUUCUUCUACACUUACGUAACUCUCUUCUUCAUACAUCAUCCCACUUAAAUAUCUAAUAUACCCCAUUACCUUAUUCCACUCAAGCAUCCACUGUACUCUAUUUAACCUAUUCCCAUUCUCGCACAUCUAACCGAGACUCUCCAUGCAUCAACCUAUUUAUUUUCCUCAAAUAACUCAAAACGUAUUUUAUU
rnacentral:lncRNA from 1 species